GCUUCUCUCUCUCUCUCUCUCAUAGCCGGAAUGCCAACUCUAAGGAGCUGACAAUUGGUAUCAGAGUCGGCGUCCUUGGUACCUGGACGGAGGUGGGUCGACCGGCCAGCACGCUGGAGGCGACGCGAACGGACGGUCGUUCGCAAGCGGCAGUCCAUCGAAGAGUGACGCGAACCACCAGGCGUUCACAACUGUAACGGACGUUCUGCAGUGAUCGUGAGUUAGUCGAAGGGUGAAGCGAAUGGCACAGAGGGUUGCGACUAGAGCAGAAGACAAGUGCGGGUGCUCCGUCGGAGUUGGCGACGUGGGCGAGGAAGGGUGUCACAGCCACCAGGUGUUCGCGACUGUAAGGGAUGUUCUGCAGCGAUCGUGAGUCAGUCGGAGGGUGAAGCGGACGGCACAGAAGGUUGCGACUGGAGUGAAAGACAGGUGCGGGAGGUCCGUCGGAGUUGGCGACGCCCAGUGUCAAACGCAUUCGGUGAUUAGCCAUUGUCAAACGAGGAAGGAUUUGAGGUGAGGAUGGCUGAAGGCACAAGGACAAAACAGCUGGAGUCGAGGUUGGACGCCUUGGAAGUGGGCUUUCGACAGAACCAUGAGCAGGUAGACGAGAGGCUAGAGACGGUUGAAGCUGGGGUUCAACACACCCAGGAGGAAGUCAACCACAUCCGAAAAGAUGUGUCGCUGAUGGAGAGGAACAUCUGGGAAGAGCUUUCGGGUUUGAGCUAGCAACUGAGUGCUGCCCUCGCCAUCUUCUCCUGAUAGCCACGACAUCACCCAUCUUUCCCGGACCGAGGGGUCGGCCAAACGUACAGAGUAUGCUGCUGAAGGGUCUCUUAGGGGAUCCCUAACAAACCAGAAUAAUCCCCCUCCACCGAGACUCGAAAUCCCGAUGUUUGAAGGGGAUAAACCUCGGUGGUGGGUCAGACGUUGCGAGCAUUAUUUUUACCACUACCGAAUGGCCAAAGGGAACAGGUAAACAUGGCAGCUGCCUCUGUGAAUGACAUGGCAAAUUCAUGGUUUCAAGGGUGGAGCGAACAGAGAGUAGAAUGGAGGUGGCCUGAGUUUCUCGACAAGUUCUGUGCUCGUUUUGGGGAACGAAACCUAACUGAUAUUGUGGAAGAAUUUAACAAAUUGAAGCAGGAAGAAACAGUGGAAGAGUACCUAGUGAGGAUUGAGGAGCUUAAGUCGGUGAUAAGACAAGUUCACUCGACACUGGAUGAGCAUUAUUUCGUGUCUAGCUUCCUCCGUGGGCUGAGAGAAAAGCUAAGGCCUAUAGUUAAAAUACUGCAGCCUACUUCGGUAAGACAAGUGGCUGAGAAGCCCGUUUUCAUGAAUUAUCAUUGGAAGCAUUUGUUAAGAAGCAUAAGAUAGCGUCGAAGGGAUACGGGAGAAGUAAUUGGCAAGGUAGUGCAGGGGGGCCAGUUUAAGGGCAACAACUUACUGAUUACAAAAGGGACCUAUGCACCUCGAGGAUCCCUUAGUCCUGUUCCUUUGAAGCCUCUCACAUUAGAGUAGAAGCGCCAAAUGGGGCUAUGCUUUAGAUGCAGGGAGAAAUAUGCACCUGGUCAUUAGUGUAGAAAACAACAAAUGCAAAUGGAAGGGCAAGAGGAGGAAGGAGAAGAAGAAGAAGAAGAAGAAAUCGGGGAGCAAGAAAAGGAGGGCGAUGGAGCCAACGGAGGAGGGCAAAUAUCCUUAACGCCCUAGAGGGUUGCCCCUCAAAGAAAAUAAUCAAAGAUCAAGGGGAUGGUGGGAAAGAAAGGAGUGAUAGUCCUCAUUGACAGUGAAAGCACGCAGCUUCUUGGAUGAGGACAUGGUUAGAGAGUUGCGGUGCCCCUUGCACGCAACCCUUCCCUUAGCUGUUACAGUUGCAAACGGUAGCAAAAUGAUCAGUAAAUAUAGGUGCAGGGACUUCACAUGGAGGAUGCAGGGGCAUGAAUUCACCACUGAAUUGAGAAUACUGCAUUUGGGAGGUUGCCAUAUCGUGUCAGGCGUUGAUUGGAUGAAGACGGUGAGCCCCUUGAUAUUUGAUUUUAAUACGUUAGAAGUAGCUUUCGAAAAGGAAGGCAAGAGAUUGACGUUAAUAGGGUGUUUAGAGGAGGGGGAGUGUAAAGUGAUUUCUAGCAGCAACUUAAAAAAACUGACUGAGCAUGGGGGAGCUGCCAUAGCUCAACUGCACUCUUUGUAUGCAAUCGUGUUGGCAGAGGAACAAGGGAAUACCGAAGGAGAGGCAGCAGUUGAUCAUUCUUGGUUCAACUUGGAUGCUGUAGUGACCCCUCCGAGCGAGGUGCUUUUGUAAGAGCAGUUGUUUUGUUGGGGUUCCUAAAAGAUUGGUGACUUCUACUAGGGAUUAUUUGCAAAAGUAAGAGUUGGCUUUUCUUGGAAGCUUGAGGGUUGGUAUAAAUAGGGGUUCCCGGCCACUUUAUAGCACUUUCCAGCAUUUUUCAAGAUAGAAGUUUUCUGCAAAGACUUCCAGCUCCAAACCAGAUAGUUUUGAAGACUUGGAGGCUUGGAUUUUAAGGAUUCAAUCUUGCGAUGCUUACCAAUCCUCCACUGCUGCCAUUGGUGCAAGAGACUAGCAAAAAAGCUGUGGUUACUGCUUUAUACUGGGCCUUAAAGAGUGCUAUAUUCAGGUCCCACUAAAAGCUGUCGUGCUUUCUAUAAAAGGCAAGGGGUCCCUUGAUUUUGCUUAAAAGCAGCUGAACCUGAUUUCUUGAAGGAAGCAGGUAUACUUUAAAAGCAAAGCUGCCCUUUACCAAACACUGCUUCUUCAAAAAAGUUGAUAAAAAGCUGUUGUGCAUAAAAACCACAACAAUACCAAACAGGCUCAUAGUUGGUCAAUGUUGCACCUAUCAAUUGUCUAGACUCAGGAAGCAAAACAUUGGCUUGUACACCCAAUUACCUGUCACUGGAAAGAUGUUAUCAUUGAUUUUGUCCUGGGUCUUUCAUGCACCCAUGAAAAGCAUGACUCAAUUUUUGUGGUUGCGGGCUUAUUUCAUCCCAUGUAGCAAAACUUUCAAUGCCACUAAGAUUGCAAAAAUAUAUUUUAGUGAAAUUGUCAAAUUAUAUGGCCUCCCUAAGACUCUGGAGUCUAACAAGGAUGUUUGCUUUAUUAGUUACUUUUGUGAAACUCUAUAGCAUUUGGUAGGCAGCAAGUUCGCAUUUUCUACUGCAUAUCAUCUUCAUACAGAUGACUAGACCAAAGUUGUGAACCAUAGCUUGCGAAACUUGUUGAGAUGAUUGGUUUGGGAGAACCAUAGGAAAUAGGACUUGUUUCUUCCCACUGCACUGGGCAAUAGUUCUAUCAAUAGCUUACUAGUAUGAACCCUUUUGAAGUGGUACAGGGUGAUAAACUUAGGAAGCCUUUAGACCUCAUUUACAUGCCGUACAAUGUUCAAGUGUUUAAAUCAUUCAAGGCAUUUACACAAUACAUUCAUGACUUACAAGUAGUAAUGCUUUAAAAACUCCUAGCUAACAUUCAUCAUCAUCUUGCUGAAUCCAAUAUAGGGGAUUCACUCCUCUAUGAUUAGUCCCCAAGUUAUAAGCUCAUAGUGCAUGCACUUUUCAAAUAUUUAAACAAAUUGGACCAAAUGCAUA